ensembl:lncRNA
UCGUAAUACACACCUAUAUUCAACAGAACAGAAAAACUUCCACUCAGAAAGGAGAGACUAAGACAGAAUUCCUUUUAUAGGAAAUGUUUAAUAAUUAUUCAAUGGCCUACAUCUCACAGUAAAUAUUAUACAAUUACAAACGUGACUUAGUUAUGGUACAAAGAUCACUAUCUGAUCUUCAAAAAAAAUAAAAAAUAAACUUAAAAAAAUAAAAAACAGAUUUACACUUCAUAUCACAAGCCUGACAUGGGUCUGCAACGCUGAACCAAUAGCUAACAAACAAUUCAGUUCACGCAACGUUGAGAAAACGUUGUGCCAUGGUUUGCCACAACUGUAGGGUAAUGUUACCAUUGUUUGUGCAAACUGGAUCCCAAACUUCAAGGGGGGUUGUUCCUAAACUCGCUCCAGGGAUCCAAGUCUUUUGGAAGACGAGGAAUUUACACUUUUUUGCAUAAUUAUAAUUUUCAAAUUAUUAUUUUAGAAAUAAUAAGCUGCAGAACAUUGAGGACACCCCACGUCCACGAUACCUCCAACAGUUUGGUUUUAAUUUGAGGAAACUGCUAAGACAUGACCACUGAUGCAGAGAAGAGUCAGAAAAAGAGAAGUGGGGGUCGGUGUUUGAGGAUAUAUUUCAACAUAAACACCAUUUUGACUUCCCAUAGUUGUGAAGAAAUGAAUAGUACACAAACAUCAACAACAAAUAAAUCAUUUAACAUCUUUAAAAGGAUCUUUAACUUCUUUUACACGUAUUUAGAGAUGGAAUGAUACAAAAAGGUGAAGGAAUCAUAAGUUGAUAGUGAACAAAUAAAAAGACCUUAAAAUAUAUCCCCCUUUGAGCUCUGCAGGUAAGUUAAUCAGGGUUGGGGUCAAGUCCAUUUCAAUUCAGAGAACAAGUUGAAAUUUAGUUACCUUCCUGAAAUGACGGAGUAGAGGUGGAAUUGACCCCAAACCUCCUGAAAUCAAAAACACAGUCAUGCGAACAGGUGACAUUUGUGUGUGUGUUGUGUGUGUGUGUGUGUGUGUGUGUGUGUGUGUGUGUGUGUGUGUGUGUGUGUGUGUGAGAGAAAGUCUGAAACGAGUCCCCUCGGAGCGAGUGUCUUAGCAGAACCGCUGAAACUUGUACCAUAGAAUAAUAAAAUACCAAAUCGCAGUUGCAACCUUAAAUAACACUCAUGGUAACAAGUGCUCCAUUUUACACGGCUCAGGAAAUCCAACAUUCUGCUUCCUGUUUUAGGCCAAGGUGUAGAAUGUUGGCCGUUCCAAAAUCACCCCCCUUUUUGUGUUGCUGUUAAAGGACAUGAUGGGUUUAAGAAACAUGGGAAUAGCGCCACCUACAGUCGCCUUAUGGAUGAUUCAGUAGAGUUGAACAACCAUCCAAUCCUCUCAGAUCUACAUGAGGUAGAGAUGUUAGACUGGGCACCAGACUGUGGUGGUUUAGUGACACAACAUCCAUAGCUUUAACAGAUUGGAUUACAUGAGACAUCUACAGUCUUGGUUAUCUACAUGGUUCCAGUCUGCCAUUACACCUCACUUCUCAUUCAUCAUCUCAUUCAUCUCUGUUAUGAAGAGAUGCAGAGGGCUGCUCUUUACCAAGACUUAAAGGGGGGGAGAGACAGAGAGGGAGAGAGACAGAGAGAGCGAGAGUUGGAGGACAGAGCCACAGACAGAGAGGGGGAAGUAAAAUUCAGGAAGAGAGAAACACAGACCAGUUCCAACCCCAAUGGCAGGAUAUUUUAUUUUACCUUUAUUUAACUAGGCAAGUCAGUUAAGAAAAAAACUAAUUUUCAAUGAGGGCCUAGGAACAGUGGGAUAACUGCCUUGUUCAGGGGCAGAACAACAGAUUUAUACUGUGUCAGCUCGGAGAUUCGAUCUUGCAACCUUUCGGUUACUAGUCCAAAGCUCUAACCACUAGGCUACGCCCAGAUAUGGAGGUCAUUAAUAACCAAUUAUUACAUUAGAACUGACUUGAACAGAUUUUCAGACAGAUUAUGUUUGGGAUUCGACAAAGACCAACAACUGGAUUUACAAGUAACUUAUUAAAUAACAUUUACUAAAAUUCACCAUGGAGAAGGAAAGACAAACCAGAGAGUGUGAAGGACGGAGGGACAGCGUGAGAGAGAGGGAGAGAGACAGCGUGAGAGAGAGGGAGAGACCGCGUGAGAGAGAGGGACAGCGUGAGAGAGGGAGAGAGAGGGACAGCGUGAGAGCGAGGGACAGCGUGAGAGAGGGAGAGAGAGACAGCGUGAGAAAGGGAGAGAGAGGGAGGGAGAGAGAGACAGCGUGAGAGAGGGACAGCGUGAGAAAGGGAGAGAGAGGGAGGGAGAGAGAGACAGCGUGAGAGAGAGGGACAGCGUGAGAGAGGGAGAGAGAGGGAGGGAGGGAGAGACAGCGUGAGAGAGAGGGAGAGAGAGGGAGGGAGAAAGAGACAGCGUGAGAGAGAGGGACAGCGUGAGAGAGGGAGAGAGAGGGAGGGAGGGAGAGACAGCGUGAGAGAGAGAACGCGUGAGAGAGAGGGACAGCGUGAGAGAGGGAGAGAGAGGGAGGGAGGGAGAGACAGCGUGAGAGAGAGGGAGAGAGAGGGAGGGAGAAAGAGACAGCGUGAGAGAGAGGGACAGCGUGAGAGAGGGAGAGAGAGGGAGGGAGGGAGAGACAGCGUGAGAGAGAGAACGCGUGAGAGAGAGAGACAGCGUGAGAGAGGGAGGGAAAGAGAGACAGCGUGAGAGAGAGGGACAAAGUGAGAGAGAGGGACAACGUGAGAGAGAGGGACAACGUGAGAGAGAGGGACAGCGUGAGAGCGAGGGACAGCGUGAGAGAGGGACAGCGUGAGAGCGAGGGACAGCGUGAGAGAGGGACAGCGUGAGAGCGAGGGACAGCGUGAGAGAGGGACAGCGUGAGAGCGAGGGACAGCGUGAGAGAGGGACAGCGUGAGCGAGGGAGAGAGAGGGACAGCGUGAGAGAGGGAGGGAGAGAAGGACAGCGUGAGAGAGAGGGACAGCGUGAGAAAUGGAGAGAGACAGCGUGAGAGAGAGGGACAGCGUGAGAGGGAGAGAGCGGGACAGCGUGAGAGAGAGGGACAGUGUGAGAAAGGGAGAGAGAGGGAGGGAGAGACCGUGUGAGACAGCGUGGGACAGCGUGAGAGCGAGGGACAGCGUGAGAGAGGGACAGCGUGAGAGCGAGGGACAGCGUGAGAGAGGGACAGCGUGAGAGCGAGGGACAGCGUGAGAGAGGGACAGCGUGAGAGCGAGGGACAGCGUGAGAGAGGGACAGCGUGAGCGAGGGAGAGAGAGGGACAGCGUGAGAGAGGGAGGGAGAGAAGGAAAGCGUGAGAGAGAGGGACAGCGUGAGAAAUGGAGAGAGACAGCGUGAGAGAGAGGGACAGCGUGAGAGGGAGAGAGCGGGACAGCGUGAGAGAGAGGGACAGUGUGAGAAAGGGAGAGAGAGGGAGGGAGAGACCGUGUGAGAGAGAGGGACAGCGUGAGAGAGGGAGAGAGAGGGACAGCCGGAGAGAGAGGGACAGCGUGAGAGAGGGAGGGACAGCGUGAGAGAGAGGGACAGCGUGAGAAAUGGAGAGAGACAGCGUGAGAGAGAGGGACAGCGUGAGAGGGAGAGAGCGGGACAGCGUGAGAGAGAGGGACAGUGUGAGAAAGGGAGAGAGAGGGAGGGAGAGACCGUGUGAGAGAG